GAUGAACGCUGGCGGCGUGCCUAAUACAUGCCAGUCGAGCGAACAGACGAGGAGCUUGCUCCUCUGACGUUAGCGGCGGACGGGUGAGUAACACGUGGAUAACCUACCUAUAAGACUGUGAUAACUUCGGGAAACCGGAGCUAAUACCGGAUAAUAUAUUGAACCGCAUGGUUCAAUAGUGAAAGACGGUUUUGCUGUCACUUAUAGAUGGAUCCGCGCCGCAUUAGCUAGUUGGUAAGGUAACAGCUUACCAAGGCAACGAUGCGUAGCCGACCUGAGAGGGUGAUAGGCCACACGGGAACUGAGACACGGUCCAGACUCCUAUGGGAGGCAGCAGUAGGGAAUCUGCCGCAAUGGGCGAAAGCCUGACGGAGCAACGCCGCGCGAGUGAUGAAGGUCUUCGGAUCGUAAAACUCUGUUAUUAGGGAAGAACAAAUGUGUAAGUAACUAUGCACGUCUUGACGGUACCUAAUCAGAAAGCCACGGCUAACUACGUG
rnacentral:rRNA from 1 species